rnacentral:rRNA from 1 species
UGAGUACGAGCUGCUACGGCAGCGAAGUGGGUGACGUCAAGCUUCCAAGAAAAGCCCUAUACCCGUUAAGGCAUGACUGCCUGUACCCGAAACCGACACAGGUGGGGUGGUAGAGAAUACCGAGGGGCGCGAGGUAACUCUCUCUAAGGAACUCGGCAAAAUGGCCCCGUAACUUCGGGAGAAGGGGUGCCACCGCAAGGUGGUCGCAGUGAAGAGGCCCAGGCGACUGUUUACCAAAAACACAGGUCUCCGCUAAGUCGCAAGACGAUGUAUGGGGGCUGACGCCUGCCCAGUGCCGGAAGGUUAAGGAAGCUGGUCAGCGCAAGCGAAGCUAGCGACUGAAGCCCCGGUGAACGGCGGCCGUAACUAUAACGGUCCUAAGGUAGCGAAAUUCCUUGUCGGGUAAGUUCCGACCCGCACGAAAGGCGUAACGAUCUGGCGCUGUCUCGGAGAGAGGCUCGGCGAAAUAGAAUUGUCUGUGAAGAUGCGGACUACGUGCACCCGGACAGAAAGACCCUAUGAAGCUUUACUGUAGCUUGGUAUUGUGCCCGGGCUCUGAAUGCGCAGGAUAGGUGGGAGGCUUUGAUCCAUUGCUUGCGGGUGAUGGUGAGCCAACGGUGAGAUACCACUCUUUCAGAGCUAGGGUUCUAACGGUCACCCGUUAUCCGGGGACCGGACAGUAUCAGGUGGGCAGUUUGACUGGGGCGGUCGCCUCCUAAAAGGUAACGGAGGCGCGCAAAGGUUCCCUCAGGCUGGUUGGAAAUCAGCCGACGAGUGUAAAGGCGGAAGGGAGCUUGACUGUGAGACCAACAAGUCGAACAGGGACGAAAGUCGGCCUUGGUGAUCCGACGGUUCUGAGUGGAAGGGCCGUCGCUCAACGGAUAAAAGUUACUCUAGGAUAACAGGCUGAUCUCCCCCAAGAGUUCACAUCGACGGGGAGGUUUGGCACCUCGAUGUCGGCUCAUCGCAACCUGGGGCUGAAGUCGGUCCCAAGGGUUGGGCUGUUCGCCCAUUAAAGCGGUACGCGAGCUGGGUUCAGAACGUCGUGAGACAGUUCGGUCCAUAUCCGGUGCAUGCGCAGGAACAUUGAGAGGAUUUCUCCCUAGUACGAGAGGACCGGGAGGAACGCACCUCUGGUGUACCAGUUAUCGUGCCAACGGUAAACGCUGGGUAGCCAUGUGCGGAGCGGAUAACCGCUGAAAGCAUCUAAGUGGGAAGCCCACCUCAAGAUGAGUGUUCCCAUGGCACAAGCCAGUAAGGUCACGGGAAGAACACCCGUUGAUAGGCUCUACGUGGAAGCGCAGUAAUGCGUGAAGCGGAGGAGUACUAAUAGACCGAGGGCUUGACC